rnacentral:lncRNA from 1 species
GGAACAUCUGUUUCCUCCACAGAUUGAGAUUGAGGGCAGUAGGCUUCCAGGGGAUGGGUGAGGAAAAGGAGGCAGGUGUGUUUCUGAGGGAGGGAGUCACUGAAAGGAAACCACUGCUUCCUGCUCUAAGUUCCUGGCUAGUUCACUGGAAAAGCCAAUUUGAAGUUAUGUUUGGGCUUUGGGGAGCUGGAAGCUGCUGUUGCAGCCUCUUUAAAUUUCUCCAGAAUUGUUGCAUGGUGAUGAGGAGCCUGGGCAGUGGAGAACUGGUGAGGGAGUGCGUGGUAGCUCUUAACUGUCCCUCCUAGCUGAGGGACAGUUCCUCCCAUUGGAUGCCCCUUCCUUUUGAUACUUUAACAUAUUUUUGGGGCCGUUUACUAACUGCACAACAGAAGGCUAGCUCGGUGACGGGUGAGAAGGUGUUAGUAGCAGGACAGCUGCGGAAAGCACGCAGCAAAUGGAUGAGGAAGCACUCAGGGCUGCAGCAGUCAGUGGCAGGAGGAGCUCCGUGCUCCUGUGGUUGGUCAGCAAAAGCUGAAACAGCAACGAAAGGAUGUAGUUGCAACUGCCAUCUCUUUGCAUUCAUUGCCAGCUCUGCUGUUGAUGCUGAUACUCAUAUUUGGAUUCUCCUCCUGAUGCUUGCGAGGGAAGGAACAAGCUGCUGUAGCAUUUAAGGCAACAGUUGAGUGCAAGUUGACUAGCAGCGUUUAGCUGCUUCCUCUAUAAAACAUACCUUCUUUUCUGAAGCUAACAGACAGUGCAACAAUGUCAGCUGGUGGAACAUCCUCCCCUUGAAUACUGAACAUGUUUUAUCACCUCUCUUCAGAGUGCCAAGUCUGAAAGAAAAGGAAAAUGCAGAUGAUCGAAGAGUGUGUGUAAGGUCAAGGUCUAGGAGAACUUUUGUGAGAGAAGUAACAUAAGGGGAAGGGGGCUGUAUUACAAUAAACCAGCUAUGUGAGAUUGCUCCCA